CUGGUAGUUUCCCUGAAAUUGCUGCUUGGGAACAAAACCUUGGUUGUAGGGAACAAAAGGUUUGUUCUGACCUUGUUGUUGGCUGUGGAGGAUACACUUGGUCUUAUUAGCAACGUUGGUGCUGCGGUAGGAGAGGUUAGGGUUGUUGGUCUUGAAGUUGUUAUACCCUUUGUAGUCACCCUGAUUGUUGUUGAUGUAGCUAACUUCUUCUAACUGGUUACCCUCUCCAUCUUGGACUUGAUACUGCUCGUCCUCAACAAGAAAGUGCAUAUGCUUCUGCUGGCUAAGUAGAAUUCUGUCUAGCUUGUCAUUCAGCGCUUUGAUCUCCUUCCUGUGUUUGUCCUCAGAGUCACCUGUGCCUGGUCCUGUCGCAGUCCUCGUUGUAAUUACCAUCUGAUUGAGCUAGGUUCUCAACCAAUUCCCAGCCUUCUUCAACAUCUUUGUUCUGGAAAUUCCCAUUGAUGGCGGUUUCCAGAAGCAUUCUGAUGUGUGUUAAAACUCCUCGGUAAAGAGUGCUGAGCAGAGAGGCUUUCUUGAAGCCAUGAUGAGGGCAUUGGUUGGUGUAACCCUUGAACGCUCCCAUGCUUCACAUGAGCUUUCACCAAUUUU
rnacentral:sRNA from 1 species